rnacentral:lncRNA from 1 species
AUCAAAUAUAAUUACUGAUAAACUCAGUGGACUGACCUUCGAGCCCGGUUACGCCUCCCGGCGAGCUCCAUUCCGCCUCCGGAUCGUACUGUGAGCCUUCCAUGUACGGACGAUAUAUACGUAUAUAUAUGUAUAUAUAUACUCUUACAACAAACAAAUAUAUAUACAGAUAUGUGGAGGUUGAAGAAUGGGAAUGGGAGGGUUCGAUCGAAGGGGACUGAUGUUUUAGGGAGAGAGUAAGCUAGAGAGAGAGGGGAGGAGAAGAAUGGGGAUUUGAGAGAGUAAGCUAGAGACGGGAGGAGGAGAAUGGGUGUUUGAGAUUGCUUUUUCGAGUCUGUGGUCUGGUUUUUCGGUUUCUCUCUCUCCUCGUUUUCUCUCUCUAAAAAGUAUGUUUUGAGUGUGCCAGCUCUCUCUCCAUUAAGUAAGAAAAAAAUUACAACCGUUAUCGCAAAGACUCGAUCCGAAGCUGGAUCUACGGACCUGAUAUUUAUAGUCACAAACCACUACACCACUAGCUAGAUGCCUAUUAAUUUUAGGAAAUUUUAUUUAUAUUUACAGUUAUUUUCAGGGCUUGGUCCCCAAGUAAGGAAAAAAUAUACUACCGUUACGCGAAGAUUCGAACGCUUGCUGGCAGUGCCAACUCGCUUACUUGUCACGCGCACUAACCACUACGCCAC